UACAGAGGGUGCGAGCGUUUAAUCGGAAUUACUGGGCGUAAAGCGUGCGUAGACGGUUAUUUAAGUCGGAUGUGAAAGCCCCGGGCUCAACCUGGGAAUUGCAUUCGAGACUGAAUAGCUAGGGUGCGGUAGAGGGAAGCGGAAUUUCCGGUGUAGCGGUGAAAUGCGUAGAUAUCGGAAGGAACAUCAGUGGCGAAAGCGGCUUCCUGGACCAGCACCGACGUCAGGCACGAAAGCGUGGGGAGCAAACAGG
rnacentral:rRNA from 1 species